GAGUUUGAUUAUGGCUCAGGACGAACGCUGGCGGCGCGCCUAACACAUGCAAGUCGAGCGAUGAAAAGGAUUUGGAGUUCUUCGGGACAAAGAAACCUUGGAUUAGCGGCGGACGGGUGAGUAACACGUGAGUAACCUGCCUUUGACAUGGGGAUAGCCUCGGGAAACCGUGAUUAAUACCCAAUAACAUUUCCAAGUCGCAUGACAUGGAAAUCAAAGCGUUUAGCGGUCAAAGAUGGACUCGCGUCUGAUUAAUUAGUUGGUGAGGUAACGGCUCACCAAGAUAGCGAUCAGUAGCCGGCCUGAGAGGGUGAACGGCCACAUUGGAACUGAGAGACGGUCCAAACUCCUACGGGAGGCAGCAGUGGGGAAUAUUGCACAAUGGGGGGAACCCUGAUGCAGCGACGCCGCGUGAGCGAAGAAGGUUUUCGAAUCGUAAAGCUCUGUCCUAUGGGAAGAUAAUGACGUACCUAGAGAGCC
rnacentral:rRNA from 1 species